UUUCCGUAGGUGAACCUGCGGAAGGAUCAUUAUUGUAUAACCUAGGGGCAAUGUCUGUCGCUCACCCGACUGUGCAUGCACGCCCUAGUGGCCACACACAAAUCCAUCUGUCCCCUAUGUCCACCACCACGUCAGUCCCAAUUUGGCUUCAUCGGAUGGGGUCGUACGUUUUCACACAAACUUUGCAGGAAAUCUAGAGUGUAUAUGCUGGUUUUGCGGUCACACAAUCAAAACAAGUUUCAACAACGGUUCUCUUGAAUAUCGCAUCGAUUAAGAACC
rnacentral:misc_RNA from 1 species